rnacentral:rRNA from 1 species
AGAGUUUGAUCCUGGCUCAGGAUGAACGCUAGCGACAGGCUUAACACAUGCAAGUCGAGGGGCAGCACAGGUAGCAAUACCGGGUGGCGACCGGCGCACGGGUGAGUAACGCGUAUGCAACUUGCCUAUCAGAGGGGGAUAACCCGGCGAAAGUCGGACUAAUACCGCAUGAAGCAGGGGCCCCGCAUGGGGAUAUUUGCUAAAGAUUCAUCGCUGAUAGAUAGGCAUGCGUUCCAUUAGGCAGUUGGCGGGGUAACGGCCCACCAAACCGACGAUGGAUAGGGGUUCUGAGAGGAAGGUCCCCCACAUUGGAACUGAGACACGGUCCAAACUCCUACGGGAGGCAGCAGUGAGGAAUAUUGGUCAAUGGACGAGAGUCUGAACCAGCCAAGUAGCGUGAAGGAUGACUGCCCUAUGGGUUGUAAACUUCUUUUAUAUGGGAAUAAAGUUUUCCACGUGUGGAAUUUUGUAUGUACCAUAUGAAUAAGGAUCGGCUAACUCCGUGCCAGCAGCCGCGGUAAUACGGAGGAUCCGAGCGUUAUCCGGAUUUAUUGGGUUUAAAGGGAGCGUAGAUGGAUGUUUAAGUCAGUUGUGAAAGUUUGCGGCUCAACCGUAAAAUUGCAGUUGAUACUGGAUAUCUUGAGUGCAGUUGAGGCAGGCGGAAUUCGUGGUGUAGCGGUGAAAUGCUUAGAUAUCACGAAGAACUCCGAUUGCGAAGGCAGCACACUAAUCCGUAACUGACGUUCAUGCUCGAAAGUGUGGGUAUCAAACAGGAUUAGAUACCCUGGUAGUCCACACGGUAAACGAUGAAUACUCGCUGUUUGCGAUAUACUGCAAGCGGCCAAGCGAAAGCGUUAAGUAUUCCACCUGGGGAGUACGCCGGCAACGGUGAAACUCAAAGGAAUUGACGGGGGCCCGCACAAGCGGAGGAACAUGUGGUUUAA